GCGGUGAAAUGCGUAGAGAUCUGGAGGAAUACCGGUGGCGAAGGCGGCCCCCUGGACAAAGACUGACGCUCAGGUGCGAAAGCGUGGGGAGCAAACAGGAUUAGAUACCCUGGUAGUCCACGCCGUAAACGAUGUCUACUUGGAGGUUGUGCCCUUGAGGCGUGGCUUCCGGAGCUAACGCGUUAAGUAGACCGCCUGGGGAGUACGGCCGCAAGGUUAAAACUCAAAUGAAUUGACGGGGGCCCGCACAAGCGGUGGAGCAUGUGGUUUAAUUCGAUGCAACGCGAAGAACC
rnacentral:rRNA from 3 species